rnacentral:rRNA from 1 species
UACGGGGGGGGCGAGCGUUGUUCGGAUUUAUUGGGCGUAAAGAGCGUGUAGGCGGCCAGGUAGGUCAGCUGUGAAAACUCGAGGCUCAACCUCGAGACGCCGGUUGAAACCAUCUGGCUAGAGUCCGGAAGAGGAGAGUGGAAUUCCUGGUGUAGCGGUGAAAUGCGCAGAUAUCAGGAAGAACACCCGUGGCUAAGGCGGCUCUCUAGUACGGUACUGACGCUGAGACGCGAAAGCGUGGGGAGCGAACAGG